UUAACAGAAACCAAAGAAAGAGGUAUAUUAUUGUUAAUAAUAAAAUUGAAUUAAAGUUCCUGUUAAA
rnacentral:tRNA from 1 species